GUUUGAUCAUGGCUCAGAUUGAACGCUGGCGGCAGGCUUAACACAUGCAAGUCGAACGAACUCUUCGGAGUUAGUGGCAGACGGGUGAGUAACGCGUGGGAACCUACCUUUAGGUACGGAACAACAGUUGGAAACGACUGCUAAUACCGUAUGAGCCCUAUGGGGGAAAGAUUUAUCGCCUAAGGAUGGGCCCGCGUUGGAUUAGCUAGUUGGUGGGGUAAUGGCCUACCAAGGCGACGAUCCAUAGCUGGUCUGAGAGGAUGAUCAGCCACACUGGGACUGAGACACGGCCCAGACUCCUACG
rnacentral:rRNA from 1 species